rnacentral:rRNA from 1 species
UACAGAGGGGGCAAGCGUUGUUCGGAAUUACUGGGCGUAAAGGGCGCGUAGGCGGCCUGCUAAGUCGAACGUGAAAUCCCUGGGCUCAACCCAGGAACUGCGUCCGACACUGGUUGGCUUGAAUCCGGGAGAGGGAUGCGGAAUUCCAGGUGUAGCGGUGAAAUGCGUAGAUAUCUGGAGGAACACCGGUGGCGAAGGCGGCAUCCUGGACCGGCAUUGACGCUGAGGCGCGAAAGCCAGGGGAGCAAACGGG